rnacentral:tRNA from 1 species
GGCUGCGUAGCUCAGCUGGUUAGAGCGACGGAAUCAUAAUCCGUAGGUCCGGGGUUCGAGUCCCUGCGCAGUCACCA